GUAUUUAGAAUUAUUUAUUCAAAAUAUCUUCAGACAAAAUAGUUUCAAUAAAGGGUUGGUAUUAAGCUGACGCGACGCGUAAACGACGACGUCAGCAAACAUUGCACACAAGGUGAGUACUUGUUUAAAAAGUGCAGUAGAGCACUUAUUAUGAAUGAUCCUUCCGCAGGUUCACCUACGGAAA
rnacentral:misc_RNA from 1 species